UACAGAGGUGGCAAGCGUUGUUCGGAUUUACUGGGCGUAAAGGGUGCGUAGGUGGUCGCUCGUGUCGGGUGUGAAAGCCCACGGCUUAACCGUGGAACGGCAUUCGAAACUGGGUGACUCGAGUACAGGAGGGGAGAGCGGAAUUCUUGGUGUAGCGGUGAAAUGCGUUGAUAUCAAGAAGAACACCGGUGGCGAAGGCGGCUCUCUGGAAUGUUACUGACACUGAGGCACGAAAGCUGGGGGAGCAAACAGG
rnacentral:rRNA from 1 species